UACGAAGGGGGGCUAGCGUUGCUCGGAAUCACUGGGCGUAAAGCGCACGUAGGCGGAUCUUUAAGUCAGGGGUGAAAUCCUGGAGCUCAACUCCAGAACUGCCUUUGAUACUGGGGAUCUCGAGUCCGGGAGAGGUGAGUGGAACUGCGAGUGUAGAGGUGAAAUUCGUAGAUAUUCGCAAGAACACCAGUGGCGAAGGCGGACUCACUGGCCCGAUACUGACGC
rnacentral:rRNA from 1 species